rnacentral:rRNA from 1 species
GAGUUUGAUCAUGGCUCAGGAUGAACGCUGGCGGCGUGCCUAACACAUGCAAGUCGAACGAAGCAUUUGAUUGGAAGUUUCGGAUGGAAGAUGAGAUGACUGAGUGGCGGACGGGUGAGUAACGCGUGGGUAACCUGCCCCAUACAGGGGGACAACAGUUAGAAAUGACUGCUAAUACCGCAUAAGCGCACGAGGACGCAUGUUCUUGUGUGAAAAACUGAGGUGGUAUGGGAUGGACCCGCGUCUGAUUAGCUAGUUGGCAGGGUAAAGGCCU